rnacentral:lncRNA from 13 species
GCACGCGCUUCCACUCCGCUGACAGCGACCGCAGCGGCUCCUUAACAAUUCCCCGCCAAGCGUUUCAAAAGUAACGACGCAGCCCGUCGUCGGGUCUUUUGCGCAGGCGCGACAGGCCUUUAACCCCGCCCUACGCGGCGGGAUCCUGCCCUUUCUCUCCGUCUUCCUGCGAUCUCGCCGGAACAGCCGGUUCGCGCAGGCGCAGUUUGUGGACUUGAUCUGCUGUGCCUGUGUGAAGCUCCGAAAAUUGGAAGUUCAUGAGUUUGGCCCUACCUGGUUUCUGCCUGCCUGGGAAGACACCUAUCAGAUUACUUUCCUCAUCUGUCUGCUCCUUUCAAGUCUCACACUGUUGCCCAGGCUGGAGUACAGUGGCAUGAUCUUGGCUCACUGCAACCUCCACCUUCCUGGUUCAAGUGAUUGUCCUGCCUCAGCCUCCUUAGUAGCUGGCAUUACAGAUGGUUCAGGAAAAACUGGAAAAGCAGCUAUGAUGUGGCAAGAUGCCAUGCAAAACUGGCAACGCAAAAUCCAGGAACAUUUCAAAACUAUACAGCAGGUGGAUAUAGGUGCCCUGAUACUGGCCUUAUAAACUUUUCCUCACCAAGACACACAUAUAAUUAGUGAUUGUGCUUAUGUGGUGUAUAGUAUUGCUCAUUUAGAUCUUGCAUAUGUGAAGGGUAUUACUAAUGAACCCCUAUUAGCUUUAUUUCU